AUUGAACGCUGGCGGCAGGCCUAACACAUGCAAGUCGAGCGGAUGAAGGGUGCUUGCUCCUGGAUUCAGCGGCGGACGGGUGAGUAAUUCCUAGGAAUCUGCCUUGUAUUGGGGGAUAACGUCCGUAAACGGGCGCUAAUACCGCAUACGUCCUUAUGUAGAAAGUGGGGGAUCUUCGGACCUCACGCUAUCAGAUGUGCCUAGGUCGGAUUAGCUAGUUGGUGGGGUAAAGGCCUACCAAGGCGACUAUCCGUAACUGGUCUGAGAGGAUGAUCAGUCACACUGGAACUGAGACACGGUCCAGACUCCUACGGGAGGAAGCAGUGGGGAAUAUUGGGCAAUGGGCGAAAGCCUGAUCCAGCAAUGCCGCGUGUGUGAAGAAGGUCUUCGGAUUGUAAAGCACUUUAAGUUGGGAGGAAGGGCAGUAAGUUAAUACCUGGAUGUUUUGACGUUACCAACAGAAUAAGCACCGGCUAACUUCGUG
rnacentral:rRNA from 1 species